UACGUAGGGGGCGAGCGUUGUCCGGAUUCACUGGGUUUAAAGGGUGCGUAGGCGGAUAUGUAAGUCCGUGGUGAAAUCUCUGGGCUUAACCCGGAAACUGCCAUGGAUACUAUGUGUCUUGAAUGUUGUUGAGGUGAGCGGAAUAUGUCAUGUAGCGGUGAAAUGCUUAGAUAUGACAUAGAACACCAAUUGCGAAGGCAGCUCACUAAGCAAAUAUUGACGCUGAGGCACGAAAGCGUGGGGAUCAAACAGG
rnacentral:rRNA from 1 species